rnacentral:lncRNA from 10 species
CUCUCGUGCUGGAUGCUUCCUGCCCUCGAACAUCGGACUCCAAGUUCUUCAGCUUUGGGACUUGGACUGAUUUCCUUGCUCCUCAGUUUCCAGUCUACUGAGGGACUUUGUGAUCAUAUACUGAAAAGAGGACAUGGGUAGACAACGUCCUUCACUCAAUAUUGGCAGAGAAACACAGAAACCAACAGCCAUGGGAAACUGAGGGAAAAGAUAUCUGCACUUUGUCUCUGAUCCCCUCUCAGUUCCCCAAGCAGAGGAGUCAGGACUUGAGAAGAGACAGAAACGACGUCUAAUGCAAAGACAGACCCCCACCCCUGAAUUGAGAGAGAGGAAGAGAAUAAAGGCAUCAGAAGAGACCCAUGCACAAACCCAUCAUGUAAGAUGUGACUUG